rnacentral:rRNA from 1 species
AACGAACGCUGGCGGCAGGCUUAACACAUGCAAGUCGAACGCUCCGCAAGGGGAGUGGCAGACGGGUGAGUAACGCGUGGGAACAUACCCUUUUCUACGGAAUAGCUCUGGGAAACUGGAAUUAAUACCGUAUACGCCCUACGGGGGAAAGAUUUAUCGGGGAAGGAUUGGCCCGCGUUGGAUUAGCUAGUUGGUGGGGUAAAGGCCUACCAAGGCGACGAUCCAUAGCUGGUCUGAGAGGAUGAUCAGCCACAUUGGGACUGAGACACGGCCCAAACUCCUAUGGGAGGCAGCAGUGGGGAAUAUUGGACAAUGGGCGCAAGCCUGAUCCAGCCAUGCCGCGUGAGUGAUGAAGGCCUUAGGGUUGUAAAGCUCUUUCACCGGAGAAGAUAAUGACGGUAUCCGGAGAAGAAGCCCCGGCUAACUUCGUGCCAGCCGCCGCGGUAACAC